AGUGAACGCUGGCGGUGGGCCUAACACAUGCAAGUCGAACGGCAGCACAGUAAGUGCUUGCUCUUACGGGUGGCGAGUGCCGGACGGGGGAAGAAUACAUCGGAAUCUACUUUUUAGUUGGGGCUUACGUAGGGAAACUUACGCUAAUACCGCAUACGACCUACGGAUGAAAGCAGGGGAUCUUCGGACCUUGCUCAAAUCAAUGAGCAGAUGUCGGAUUCGCUCGUUGGCGGGGUAAAGGCCCACCAAGGCGACGAUCCGUAGCUGGUCUGAGAGGAUGGUCAGCCACACUGGAAGUGAGAGUCGAUCGAGACUCCUACGGGAGGAAGCAGUGGAGAAUAUUAGACAAGGGGGGCAAGCCUGAUCCAGCCAUACCGCGUGGGUGAAGAAGGCGUGAGGGUUGGAAAGCCAUUUUGUUGGGAGAGAAAAGCAGCAGUGUAAUACCCCGCUGAUAUGACGGUACCAAAAGAAUAAGCACCGGCUAACUUCGUG
rnacentral:rRNA from 1 species